CACAGAAGCGGGUGAGGCAAGAGAGGCUGUGAAGAGGGGAGACGACUCUGUCCUGCCGAGAUGGCCCCGUGCUCACCUGCUCUCUGCAUCUUGGUCUCGCCCUGUGUUUAUUGCUUCCGCACCCUCACUUUCACGUCACUGAGUGAGCCAUAAACUUCUUGGGAGUGCUCUCGGGCACAAUAGGUCCAAACAUCAAGUUGGAAUUUGUCCUGAAGAAGAGCCCAGUGAUCCCAUAGGUCAUCAUCUCUGUCAUUGCGUCCAUGCUGGGCAGAACUUUCUUGCCAGGACUUUGCAUAGGCUCCUGGACCGGGAGACUAGCCCUGCUGGAACCUUUUGGCCCUCUCUGUCUCUGGACUUCAUUUAAUGAGGGAAGAUUAAUGUUCUUAUUGCCUUUGCCAUUUCAAACUGGGGUUUGCUCUUAUGUACAAUCAGAUACAAUAUGUUUCAGAGUUAACCUUCCCUAUUCAGGAUCACCUGUGUGUGAGUAUCCCUAAAGUGCUUGUGUAAAAAGUAGAGUGAAACUGAGCUUGUGAAAGCCAUUUGAAAGCUUGCUUGUUCAGAGUUAAUGCAAAGCUGGUCAAUGAUCAUGACCCAGCAUCCCCAGAGGGAGAGAAGCCAAAUAAGCUGGUCACAUUUGCUCACCCUUGCUUAUGGCCUGGGAGGGCCACCGUUCCAGAGUGGACCCUCACCAUACACAGGCACUCUAGCACUGAGACCAUCUGUCUUCUCCAGAGUUCAAGUGUCGUUCAAGAAUUCACUGAUAGCAGGGGAAGGAUCUCUUGAUAACCCUAAUGGGUUUCUCAGUUGCCAACCAAGAUCUGAAAAACCUUAAACAAUUACAGAGAAAUCUGGAUUCUUCAAACAAAUGUGAGUGGCAAAAAUUUGCCCACGAAAAGUUUUAAGAUGUAUAUGAACAGAAAAUGUGCAUUUCACCCAAU
rnacentral:lncRNA from 1 species